ensembl:snoRNA
AUCCUUUUGUAGUUCAUAAGCAUGAUGAUUAGAUUUUCAUGCUAUUUGGUAAGAUAUGCCUUCCUCAGACUUUGUUACAGCAUAGGCACAUUACAACCUGUCUGAUA